GUGGCGCACGGGUGAGUAACGCGUGGAUAAUCUGCCCUUAUGAUUGGAAUAACAGUUGGAAACGGCUGCUAAUACCGGAUACGCUCAAAAUGAACUUUUUGAGGAAAGAUGGCCUCUGCUUGCAUGCUAUCGCAUAAGGAUGAGUCCGCGUCCCAUUAGCUUGUUGGCGGGGUAACGGCCCACCAAGGCAACGAUGGGUAGCCGAUUUGAGAGGAUGAUCGGCCACACUGGAACUGAAACACGGUCCAGACUCCUACGGGAGGCAGCAGUGGGGAAUAUUGCGCAAUGGGCGAAAGCCUGACGCAGCGACGCCGCGUGAGGGAUGAAGGUUUUCGGAUCGUAAACCUCUGUCAGAAGGGAAGAAACUACGUUGUGCUAAUCAGCAGCGUACUGACGGUACCUUCAAAGGAAGCACCGGCUAACUCCGUGCCAGCAGCCGCGGUAAUACGGAGGGUGCAAGCGUUAAUCGGAAUUACUGGGCGUAAAGCGCACGUAGGCUGUAGUGUAAGUCAGGGGUGAAAUCCCNCGGCUCAACCGUGGAACUGCCUUUGAUACUGCACAACUUGAAUCCGGGAGAGGGUGGCGGAAUUCCAGGUGUAGGGAGUGAAAUCCGUAGAUAUCUGGAGGAACAUCAGUGGCGAAGGCGGCCACCUNGGACCGGUAUUGACG
rnacentral:rRNA from 1 species